rnacentral:misc_RNA from 1 species
GUUUCCCUCGAUUUCUCUGGGAUUCCAUCAUCAGAUCCUGGUUUCAUUAUCAUGGUACUAAACUUGGGAUAUCUCCUUUCCAACAAAAAAAGAAUUAUCAAAAUCGGUACAUCCAGUAGAAAGUUAUGUGGUAUAAUACAACGUAGGUAGACGAAAAAAGCGUCAAGUAAAAACGCAUUAUUAGAUAUAACUCGAAAAGUAGUUGUUAGAUCUCAAAUAAAUUUAAAUGGGACCAAUUGAC